AUGGAGCAGUUCGAGGGAGAGAGCUGGCGGCCGGAGAACAGGAAGGGGAGUGUCUUCUUCCCGGCGGAGGGCUGGAGGCGCGGCGAGCCGGAGUUGAGGCCUGAGUUCGGCCGGUGUGUGCUCCAGCGCACGCCGGGGAUGUACCGGGUGGAGGAGAAGCUGCGUGGUCGUGCACUGGUGGGUACAGUGGAAGGGCACAGGCCUCCCGUGUCACCGGCACAGGUGGUUGCUGCUUUGGAGUUGCAAUGCGGCCUCUCCCGCGACCACAUCAUGGUCGAGGUAUGUUCCCCUCCGGCGGAUUUUCUUGUGCGGUUCCGUUCCGGCGAGGAUUGCACUCGGGUGCUCAUCUAUCACUCCCGUAAGCUGACCGCCGGCGGAGCGACGAUCCAGUUUACCCGUUGGCGCCAUGGGAUGGGUGGCGAGGCGUCGUCUUUGAAGUUUUUAACUCGGUUGAGCUUAGAUGGGCUGCCGCAAGAAGCAUGGGAGGUUGAGUUUGUUGGCAAGCUCGUUAGCAGUCUCGGUGGCGAUCUCGUUAAGAUGGUGAAGCCCACUGAUCGUUGUUUCAUCAUUGUUGAAGCGUGGAUGAAAAAUCCUAACAAGGUGCCCAAGUUAUAUGAAGUGGAGCUGCCAGAACCUGACCUCCCCCAAGAUUAUCCAAGCUCAGACUCUGACGGGCCAAUUUCACCACCUUGUAGUGACCUGACACUUGAGAAGCCAACAUUUCUACACUUUGUGAAGAUCCAUAUUCUGAAGGUGAUAGAUCGGAGCCCAAUAAUAACAGAGUUGCCGCCUGCUUACGAUUACGAUGAUGAAGCCGAGAGUGCUCGUUGUCACACUUUCAGUUGCUAUCCUGGUACAAUUGAUGGGGCAGAGAGGGCCUACAUUGGAGGUGGGCAUGGAUUUGCAGGUCCAGGGACAGAUGGCCGUGCAGGUGGUCUGUUCAAAAUGUAA
rnacentral:rRNA from 1 species